CAGCCAUGGCACUAGCGAGCAGGCUCAUCAGAGCUGCUGCAUUCUUCUGGAAGCUGCAGAGAAAGGGAGCCCGGAAACCUGGUAUGCCAGCAAAAAGGAUGCAGUUUUGCUCUUGUCGCCUAGGCUGGAGUGCAAUGACAUGAUCUCAGCUGACUGCAACCUCUGCCUCCCCGGGUUCAAGCCAUUCUCCUGCCUCAGCCUCCUGAGCAGCUGGGAUUACAGUUUAUAAUCAGAUAUAAGUCUCUUGGGGAAUCUGACCUCAUACCUCAUCUACACAGUUCCUGUACGAGGUUCCUGACCUGUGGUCUUUAGAUGAACUUUUCAACCAACUGCCAAUCAGAAAAUCUGUGAAUCCACCUGUGAUCUGGAAGCCCUUGCUUCCUGGUGUCCCACCUUUCCAGUCUGAACUGAUGUACAGCUUAAAUGUAUUGAUUGAUGCCUUAUGCCCCAUAGAAUGUAUAAAACCUAGCUGUGCCCUGACCACCUGGGCCACACGUUCUCCGGGUCUCCUGAGGACUGUGUCAUGGACCACGAUCACUCACGUUUGGCUAGGAAUAAAUCUCUCCAAUGUUUU
rnacentral:lncRNA from 1 species